rnacentral:rRNA from 1 species
UACGGAGGGGGCUAGCGUUGUUCGGAAUUACUGGGCGUAAAGCGCACGUAGGCGGCUUUGCAAGUCAGAGGUGAAAGCCCGGGGCUCAACUCCGGAAUUGCCUUUAAAACUGCAUCGCUAGAAUUGUGGAGAGGUAAGUGGAAUUCCGAGUGUAGAGGUGAAAUUCGUAGAUAUUCGGAAGAACACCAGUGGCGAAGGCGACUUACUGGACACAUAUUGACGCUGAGGUGCGAAAGCGUGGGGAGCAAACAGGG